GCAGGGAGCGGUAGUGCAGGCCUGUAGUUUCGGCUAUUCAGAGGCUGAGGCAGGAGGAUUGCUCAAACCCAGGAGUUCUAGGCUGCAGUGAGCUAUGCCCAUCGGGUGUCCACACUCAGUUCGGGAUCAAUACGGUGACUUCCUGGGAGCAGGGACCACCAGGUUGCCUAAAGAGGGGUGAACUGGCCCAGGUCAGAAAUGGAGCAGGUCAAAAAAUACAACAGCAAGUAAAGACAGGGCUUAGGACUCAGGAGUCCAGGGUCCAAGGUAUGCCCUGUCACU
rnacentral:SRP_RNA from 1 species